rnacentral:rRNA from 1 species
UGGUUUAUUUAAGGUUUGACCUGCCCAAUGAGGUUUUUAAUGGCUGCAGUAUUUUAACUGUGCUAAGGUAGCAUAAUCAUUUGUCUUUUAAUUGAGGGCUUGUAUGAAAGGUUGGACGAGGUAUUAACUUUCUUUGGUUUAAUUAAGGAAAUUAAUUUUUAAGUUAAAAAGCUUAAAUUUAUUUGUUGGACGAGAAGACCCUAUAGAUCUUUAUAAUUUUUAAUUUUAGUAAUUUAGUUUAUUUAUUUGGAAUGGAAGAAUUAUUUUGUUGGGGUGACUGUAGGAUUUUAUAAACUUCUAUUUUUUGUUUCAUUAAUUAGUGUUUUUUUGAUCCAUAUAUUUAUGAUUAAAAGAUUAAGUUACCUUAGGGAUAACAGCGUAAUUUCUUCGGAGAGUUCAUAUUGAUGAAGGAGUUUGCGACCUCGAUGUUGGAUUAAAAUAAGUUAUGGAUGUAGAAGUUUAUAUACUGGGUCUGUUCGACCCUUAAUUUUUUACAUGAUCUGAGUUCAAACCGGAGA